rnacentral:rRNA from 1 species
GACAGAGGGUGCAAACGUUGUUCGGAAUUACUGGGCGUAAAGCGAGUGUAGGCGGUCUCCUAAGUCGGGGUGUGAAACGCCCCGGGCUCAACCCGGGAAGUGCACUCGAAACUGGGAGGCUAGAGUAUCGGAGAGGUUGGUGGAAUUCUCGGUGUAGAGGUGAAAUUCGUAGAUAUCGAGAGGAACACCGGUGGCGAAGGCGGCCAACUGGACGAAUACUGACGCUGAGACUCGAAAGCGUGGGGGAGCAAACAGG